AGGCACUGCAGACACAGCUGCUGCGGAAGGAGACAGCCAAAGCUUCCAAGGAAAGAAAUGGCCAAGAUUUGAGAGAAACCUGGCAGCGUCCCCAAGCCUGGCACCGGAUCGCCUCAGACGCACUCGGCUGCUCCGGAGGCGGAGCGCGAGGCACCGGACCCGGCGGGCGGAGCCAGGCCAGCGGGGCGCAGCGCAGCGCCUUCCGCCAGGGCGUCUGGCGCCACCUACCGGCGACCAGGAAACUUUCCACUGAGCAGCAGUUGCUGUGACCACCUGGGCAUCAAAUGGCAAUUAAUUGGAACAGACUUGAUAAAUGAACUGUGGAUGAGAGCGCCGUGUUCAUGACCAGGCGCUUUCCCACCCACCUGCUUAUGCUGCCACAGUGAACACAAAUUUACAUACCUGGAAGAAACAAGACUUUCUGAAGCAUUCGCAAUAAAUGCAAUAAAUGCAGGAAAUCUGUCUGUCGUGGCUAAAACACCCCCACUGCUUCGUUUGGCAUCGUUCUUGUUCAUAUUCAAAGCAUUGGCAGUGUUUCUCCUGACUAGUUUGUGGCAAUUAUCACACUGGUGGUAACUGAAAUGGCUUUUCUAAAUCUAGAACCCGGGUUCCGUGAAAUAGCGAAGAAGAAUUCCCCCUUUAAGGAAUAGGAAUGUUUUUGCAAUAAAACAAAACGGACACC
rnacentral:lncRNA from 1 species